UACGUAGGGGGCAAGCGUUGUCCGGAAUCAUUGGGCGUAAAGCGCGUGUAGGCGGCCCGGUAAGUCCGCUGUGAAAGUCGGGGGCUCAACCCUCGAAUGCCGGUGGAUACUGUCGGACUAGAGUACGGAAGAGGCGAGUGGAAUUCCUGGUGUAGCGGUGAAAUGCGCAGAUAUCAGGAGGAACACCAAUUGCGAAGGCAGCUCGCUGGGACGUUACUGACGCUGAGACGCGAAAGCGUGGGGAGCAAACAGG
rnacentral:rRNA from 1 species